CUUGGGUCGCAACUUAAUGACCAAGGACAAACGUGGGUCCUGAGGUUACACGGGUUGAAAACCACUGGUCUAAAAUUUGAAAGCACCCAUAAA